rnacentral:lncRNA from 1 species
UUGAGUGGCCAAACCUGCUUCUCCAUUUAAAAACAAAAGCCCCAGCCCAAGUGACCGACCGUGAUCCAAUCCAUAUAAUACCAAACUAAACGACACCGUUUAGAAGCCCCAUCAUCACAACCGUUGAUCUCACCUCAAUACAACAGCCAUUAAACCUCAUCCUAAACCAUACAUAUAUGUCAGAAUGUCUCUAAUACAGAUUAGAGACCAAACCCCCUUCCUCGUAUCGUCUUCUUCGUACUGUAACACCUCCCUUGACCACCACUGACCGUCCAUUGACCACCAGCUUACCACCCCACUGCCAUCGCCGGAAAUCACCUCACGGCGGCGGCCGGCAACCAAACCUUCCCCAAUUAACACCACUCAAUUGUCAUGACCUCACCUACCCCGUCCUAUGGUUAGCUUCCAUCGAACAUGCCCCUUACGUCUCGAAUCUUCAAAAACAGGGCCGUCGGAACCACUGUCUCCGGCGACCCUGUUCCAAACCCUUCCACCUUUACACCCUAGAACCACUAGGACACCCCCUUCCCCGUCCUGUAUCCCACUCCCUUCAAAUCUCCCUCCAUCAUCUCGAAUAUUCUCUUAAAGGUUGCCGCAAACCCUAUCUCUGGCGACCUUGUUCCAAAGCCUUCAAAAUUUACACCCAUAAGGAAACUCAAUGGCAACCCACUUCCCUCGAACCCCCCUCCCCUCAUCACCUCAAAUGUUCUCCGAAAGGUCGUCGAAAACCCUAUCUCAGGCGACUCUUUCCCAAAGCCUUCCAAAUUUACACCCCUAAGGCACCUCAACUUCUUCGUUCCAACCGUAUAGGUCACCCCUCUCCAAUCUUCCUGAAACUCCUCGAAUUUCAACUCAAAGUUUAACCUUAAAACACAAAACACACCGGAAAUGCCUCAAAUUCCUCCUAGUCAGUCAUUGGUCCCUCUUGACACUAACCUUACCACCCAUGAGUCCCAUACAACCUCAACCACUGAAAAAAUCCAAAUCUGAGACCUUACUGAGGUCUCAGAACCUUGAAAACCCUCCCGUGAGCUCUUAAACUGAUUAUACAUCGCCCUAGGAGGUUCAGAACCUUUGUGGAAGGGGUCAAGAGUCGGUUGAAAUGGUCUAAACGGACACGCGUGAAAAGAAGCUAAGUUUUCUGUUUAUUUUCAUUUCUUUAGCUGAUUAAAUUCUUGAUCCCUUUUAAUAAUUGAUUAGGUUCAGUAGUUGCAUGCUUAAUUGUUUGAAGCUCUUUUAUUCGAUUUUUCUUUUGGUUAUUUGUCUGUUUGUCCACAAGUUCAUUUGAAAUAGUGUUCAAUAUUUAUAUGCUUUUGUUUGUCACUAGUCUGGAAACCUUCUAGUCUCCGGAAUAGUUCAACAUCCUAUUAAAAUUUGCUUUUGAGCGGUGUGAUUCUCAUAAUUUGAUGAACUCUAUUGAUUCACUGAUAGUCUGAUUGGUUUGAUUGUUUGUUUAUGCUACUGAGUGCAUGAUCUUUAUUUUAUAAUAGCUUUGGUCCUCAGUGUUGAUGCAUAAUUAAGCUGUUCUUUUUUCAUUUUAUUAAAGUAUUUCUGAGCACCUUGAUUGAACUAUUUCUAAAAGCUAGUGUUGAUAGGUGCAUUUAUUUUUCUGGUCAUUUUGAUUUUUUGUUUGUUAAUCCUGUAUAUUGUUUGUGGAAGUUUGUAUUAAAGCAUCUGUGUUAAGCCUUGUUAAUUUUGGCUGAUUGAACUUUCAUGAGCUUAUUAGUCUAAGGUUGAAAUGUGACCCAAGUUUGAUUGACCACAGUCAAUUGUGACUAAACUAGGGUC